CCUACGGGAGGCAGCAGUGAGGAAUAUUGGUCAAUGGACGAGAGUCUGAACCAGCCAAGUAGCGUGAAGGAUGACUGCCCUAUGGGUUGUAAACUUCUUUUAUAUGGGAAUAAAAUGUUCCACGUGUGGGAUUUUGUAUGUACCAUAUGAAUAAGGAUCGGCUAACUCCGUGCCAUCAGCCUCGGUAAUACGGAGGAUCCGAGCGUUAUCCGGAUUUAUUGGGUUUAAAGUGAGCGUAGGUGGAUCUUUAAGUCAAUUGUGAAAGUUUGCGGCUCAAGCGGAAAAUGGCAGUUGAAACUGGCAGUCUUGAGUACAGUAGAGGUGAGCGGAAUUCGUGGUGUAGCGGUGAAAUGCUUAGAUAUCACGAAGAACUCCGAUUGCGAAGGCAGCUCACUGGACUGCAACUGACACUGAGGCUCGAAAGUGUGGGUAUCAAACAGGAUUAGAUACCCCUGUAGUC
rnacentral:rRNA from 1 species